rnacentral:tRNA from 1 species
UAGUCUAGUGGGUAAGGCUUUGGAUCGCCAAUCCGGAGACGGCGGGUUCGAUUCCCGU